UUCAUACUCCAUCCGUCCUGAAUUACUUGUGGCAAAAAGAUGUAUCUAGAACUAAAAUACAUCUAGAUACAUUCAUUUCUAUGACAAGUAAUUUCGGACGAAGGGAGUAUACA
rfam:Triticum aestivum genome assembly, contig: Triticum_aestivum_CS42_TGACv1_scaffold_179312_2DS